UUAAAUACCUGGUUGAGGAGAUACCGUGAUCAGGAAGAUGCUUUUCCCAAGUCAAGGCUUAUUCAUUGCACUCUGAAUUUGCUGAUCUCUGCAAUUUCCCCAAAUGUGAAGAACUUGACUGCAUAAAUUGUGUCAAUGGGAAACUGCAAUUAGUUCUCC
ensembl:snRNA U1 U1 spliceosomal RNA